rnacentral:sRNA from 1 species
UGAAGCUCUCAAAUAUCACUGUUGUGAAUACAGAGAGUGAAAACGAACUGUAACGUGCUACCCAAAUGUAAGUUUUACUCAUAUUUUGAUGUUAGGAUGGAUAGCUUGGAAAAAGUUGGAGGGUACGGCCUUUACUAUGAGGCAUCUAUGAAGGAUCAGGAAUGGAUGUAGACAAGGAACUAGUAAUGGAAAGUGUUAAUGCUGGAGCCUCUGGAAAACCAGAAAUGAGGCUGGGCACUCAGGAAGAAACAAAUGAAGGUGAUGCUAAUGAUUAAUACAUCAUUCAUCAGACUUCAUUCGUGAUCUCGAAGAGUGACGUCAGUCUUCCUUGGAAUAUGAAGAAAAUUUCUUUGGUUCUUCUUUUGCAUUUCUAUUUGAUUUAUUUUAUUUUAUUUUAUGUUUUUUGGUACAGAAAGUUCAUUACAAGUCCUGUCCAGCAACGUGCCUCUCCUGGCCCUAGAGUUCUUGGACACAGCCCAGGCCAAAGAGAAGGCCUUUCUCCCCAUGGUCAGCCACACGUUCCACAUGCGCACAGAGGAGUCUGAUGCCCCACAGGAGGGCGAUGACCUACCCAAGUCCUCAGCAAACACCAGCCAUCCCAAGCAGGGUGACAUUCCCAAGUCCCCAGAAGAAACCAUCCAGCCCAAGGAGGGUGACAUCCGCAAGUCCCCAGAAGAAACCAUCCAAUCCAAGAAGGAGGACCUCCCCAAGUCCUCAGAAGAAGCCAUCCAGCCCAAAGAGGGUGACAUCCCCAAGUCCUCAGCACAACUCAUCCAGCCCAAGCUGGGCAAUAUUC